CCACAUAUCCACACUCAUUGAGAGACCCAAACUAAUUUUCAAAUGAGUGGUGUAACACACAAAUGGAUUUUUAUUCCAGAUAUUCAAAUGGACUGUAAGACAGACCCAUAUCCGAGUGGCCACAAAGUGAAAUGUAGUGAGGUGUCUUUAAACCUUGAUUGCUUAGCAAAUCCAAAAUUCGCCUACUACUAGACCUCGUGGUUGCAUAUUUGAGAUAGUAGGAGAGUGUGGAAACGUAAAAGGACUGAGCGAGGAGGAAUAGAUAGGCGAGAGAGCGACGUAGCAAGAAAAAAGAAGAAUACAAGGUUUGAUUGAUGUUAUUACAAGAAAUGAGACAAAGAGUGGAAGAAAUAAAGAUAGAGAGAGAUGUGUCAUCAUUUCUCUAUGAUUAGUUGCUAUAGUAGAAAAGGGGACCGUUUCAACCCCUUGGAUCCAUCGGGUGAGUUUCUUGUUUUUGCAGCAAAGCUGAGAUUCUUUUCUUUUCGUUAGAAGAAAAAGAAAAAAUAAAAUGUAUCAUAUUUCAACGAGGAGACAUGGUUUCUAUCA